ensembl:lncRNA
AAUUUAAUAUAUGAACAUAUGAAUACUUUGUUUAUGCUAAUUUGUUAUCAUUAAAUAUUGUAAUAUACGAUACAUUUCAGUAAUUAUAUUUAUAUAUUAACUUUUUUAUAUAGAUGUUUUAUGUUUGUUGCUAAUUUGAUAUUAUAAUUAAAUGAAUAAAAUAAAAAAUAUAUUUAAGUAAAUAAAAACGCAAAUAUAAUAAAAUUAUAUUUACUAUAUAUACACACACCUUUUUUAAAAUUAGUCUCAGUUUAUCAAUGUUCUCAGAAAAUUUGUUACACAAUACAAUACUGUUAUUUAGUAGGUGGUAUGUGUGUAUUUCUAGAUAUCUCACAUGCUCUAGUACUGAAUUCCUCCUACGGCACAUCUUGAAGGAAGACAGCUAGUGAGUCAUGAAUUAAUUAAAAGUAGGUUUGAAAGAUACAGCCCAUGCAGGAUUGAAUGCCAAGAAAUGUUAAACUGUUAACUUAAAAAAACAGUAGUUUGAAGCUUAUCAGCUCCAGACAGCUUACAUCGUAACAACUCUGUUGACAUCAACAGCUUACAGUUGCAUUGCUGGUUAGUGCUGGUCUAGAUGAUGGAUCAGCACUGGCAUGCUGUGCAACAGCUGGUGAGGCUAGUCAGCCUGCUGUUUAAGUAGACCAGCACCAAAAACACAACAUAUGCUGGUCUUUUGAGCAGGAAACUGUGUCCUACAUCAGCUAAUACAAGUGGGAUUGAUUUGACAGGUGUGUAGUUUCAUCUUCAUCUCACCAUCACACAUGUAACUGAGCACAUUAAUUAUGCUGUAAUAUUAAGAAUGAUGCCACUGUUGUAGAAAGGAAAAAAUAGCUGGUUUAGACAUUUUUAAACACAACCUGUCCACUACCAUGGGGACAAUGUCAGACUAAAAACUGCAAAAUUCUCAGUUUAUUCUCAUUGCUGUCUAGGACAGGGGUCGGCAACCGGCAAAAUACUAUUUUGUAUUUUAAAGCCUUCGGAAAAAGUCAAAUUUAAUUUGUAUUUUAGUACAUUUAAGAUUAGUAUUUUUGUAUUUUCAAAAUACAUAAAAUACUUUGUGCCAGUCAGCCUCUUUAUCAGGGUGCUGAUUUUGUGCAUCAACUAUUUCAGGCACGCCCCCUCCCUCCAACAUUCAUCACACCAGCUGCAGCUGUACAGCUCCACUCAGCAUCGGGUGAGCGACUUUUCUGGAAUAAAAGGAGACAGACCAACAACUGGCCUGCGCUAAAUGGAUUGUAGGAGAUUUGAUACAAACUCUGGGGAGUUAAAACAUUGUUCCCUGACAUCUUUCCCACAGAGGUUUGUGGCUUUAAUUUGUUGUUUUCUCUCUGAAGUCUGUGUCUUCUCUCAGCAUGCUA